AACGAACGCUGGCGGCAGGCCUAACACAUGCAAGUCGAACGCGUCCUUCGGGACGAGUGGCAGACGGGUGAGUAACGCGUGGGAACGUACCCUUUGGUUCGGAACAACAGCGGGAAACUGCUGCUAAUACCGGAUAAGCCCUUCGGGGGAAAGAUUUAUCGCCAGAGGAUCGGCCCGCGUUAGAUUAGCUUGUUGGUGAGGUAAUGGCUCACCAAGGCUACGAUCUAUAGCUGGUCUGAGAGGAUGAUCAGCCACACUGGGACUGAGACACGGCCCAGACUCUUACGGGAGGCAGCAGUGGGGAAUCUUGGACAAUGGGCGAAAGCCUGAUCCAGCCAUGCCGCGUGAAUGAUGAAGGCCCUAGGGUUGUAAAAUUCUUUCGACGGGGAAGAUAAUGACGGUACCUGUAGAAUAAGCCCCGGACUAACUUCGUGCCAGCAGCCGCGGUAAU
rnacentral:rRNA from 1 species